AUAGAGGUAUUAAACCAUUUGAGUGCUAAGACGUCACAGGACGGAAGGCAUCAAUGGAGUCUUUUAUCAGGGCUGUUAAGCAAACAACGUCGAAAAGUUCGCACUCAUUUGAUUAUCGUAUCUUUUUCUGGUUGGGAAAAAUACGUAAUUUAUUGUAACAAAUCCGAGUUAAAACAAAGACGUCGAACAAUUAACUCAGCAAAAACAGGAUCUCUCUUGCAGCAGCUUAAGGAAAAUUCAUUUUCUGGGAGGAGGUGAUAAUAGGUCAUCACCUCUUAUCCUAAAUUGAGUUCCUCGAAUUAAUUUUUCUAAAGGAAAUUGCCCAUUGCGGCUUUGAAGUUCUGAAAAGAGUGAUAAUAAAGCUAUCAGGCGUUUCCUUAUUAAUGACAGCUAAUUAACCAGCGAGAUCUUUGUCAAAGCGGCUGAACUCGUUAUUACGGCGGCCGAAAACAUAUAAAUUUCCUCCACCGUUCUUCCAUUUCAAGCGUUACCUUACGGAUACAAAGUUGAAAACAAAGAUCAGUAAUUCAGACAAGCGUUAUCAAUGAAGAAUAUCACGUGGCGUAUGACCAUUUUGGUUUCCAGUCUUCUCAUAAUUGCAACAGGCUCACGGCAGACUGAUCAUGGUGAGUAACCAUGCAAAGAGCUGCUUCUUUUAAUUCAAAUGAGAACAUUACAGCAGCCUGCCAACUGUCAAUGGUUAUAAAAGGGUUUUAACAACGAGACCCUGUUGUGAAAACAAUUCAAAGUGUUCUGGCUACUGGAAACAACAAUUAGCGUGACAAUCUACAUGUAAGGGUUUCUAUGCAAAAUUAUAAAAAGAAAAUUUAACAUUAUUUUUGUUUUCUGUUUAUCGUCUUCACAGUCAUUCACAAAACGUCACCACAAAGUAACAAUCAACAUGCUCAUUGGUCCUCGCUCAAGCAAGAUAUAGGCUUUUAAUAAAAAUAUCCAGAGUUAAAAUACCAAUUUUAUCUUUUAGUUCCUGCAGAUUUCUCAGUUAAUAAGUUGGGAAAAGUUUGGGGUUACAUCAACAUAACACCACGUGCCUGAUACGUUCAUCUAUCGUCGUUUUCUUUUAGCUGCAUAACAUACAUAUAUUUUGAAAAUUCACUUCGAGGAGUUCGAUGGCUAUGGCUUCUGCCUAGCUUUGGUACAGACC